rnacentral:rRNA from 1 species
GUAAUUCCGGUGAAGAUGCCGGAUACCUGCGACAGGACGGAAAGACCCCAUGGAGCUUUACUGUAGCUUGACAUUGGGUCUUGGUACUACAUGUACAGGAUAGGUGGGAGGCUUUGAAACCAGGACGCCAGUUUUGGCGGAGCCAUCCUUGGGAUACCACCCUUGUAGUACUGGGACUCUAACCAUAGGCCAUGAAUCUGGUCUUGGGACACUGUCAGGUGGGCAGUUUGACUGGGGCGGUCGCCUCCCAAAAGGUAACGGAGGCGCUCAAAGGUUCUCUCAGUACGGUCGGAAAUCGUACGUAGAGUGUAAAGGCAAAAGAGAGCUUGAUUGCAAGACAUACAGGUCGAGCAAGGAUGAAAAUCGGACUUAGUGAUCCGGUGGUUCUGCGUGGAAGGGCCAUCGCUCAACGGAUAAAAGCUACCCUGGGGAUAACAGGCUUAUCUCCCCCAAGAGUCCACAUCGACGGGGAGGUUUGGCACCUCGAUGUCGGCUCAUCACAUCCUGGGGCUGUAGUAGGUCCCAAGGGUUGGGCUGUUCGCCCAUUAAAGUGGUACGCGAGCUGGGUUCAGAACGUCGUGAGACAGUUCGGUCCCUAUCCGUCGCAGGCGUAGGAAAUUUGAGAAGACCUGUCCUUAGUACGAGAGGACCGGGAUGGACGUACCUCUGGUGUACCAGUUGU